rnacentral:misc_RNA from 1 species
GUGAAGUUGAUUAAAAGAGAUCAAGCUGUAUGCUACCUAUGGCCUUCCUAGAAUUGCAGUGAAUAGGGCUUGAUUCCAAGUGACGGAGCUGUUACCUCAAGUAUAAAGUACGCAACCUGUAUUGCUUGAACUUUCUCAGUUCAAGACUGCUCAUGACAAUGAAUGUUCCCAGGUUGGAGUUCAGUUUCACCAUACGUUUACUAGUCUACCUAUAAGCAGUGGAGCACAGAACCAAUCUAAUUUCUAUAUCGCAUGUCUAUAGGGCU